AUGCAGUCGAACGGUGAUAGCAAUAUCAUAGUGGCGCACGGGUGCGUAACACGUAUGCAACCUACCUUAUACUGAGGGAUAGCCUUUCGAAAGGGAGAUUAAUACCUCAUAACACAUUGAACUGGCAUCAGUUUAUUGUUAAAGAUUUAUUGGUAUAAGAUGGGCAUGCGUCCAAUUAGUUAGUUGGCGAGGUAACGGCUCACCAAGACGAUGAUUGGUAGGGGAACUGAGAGGUUAAUCCCCCACACUGGCACUGAGAUACGGGCCAGACUCCUACGGGAGGCAGCAGUAGGGAAUAUUGGGCAAUGGAGGCAACUCUGACCCAGCCAUGCCGCGUGCAGGAAGAAGGCGUUAUGCGUUGUAAACUGCUUUUAUAUAGGAAGAAAUAGACCUUGCGAGGUAAGUUGACGGUACUAUAUGAAUAAGCACCGGCUAACUCCGUGCCAGCAGCCGCGGUAAUACGGAGGGUGCAAGCGUUGUCCGGAUUUAUUGGGUUUAAAGGGUGCGUAGGCGGUUUAUUAAGUCAGUGGUGAAAGACGGUCGCUCAACGAUUGCAGUGCCAUUGAUACUGGUAGACUUGAGUGGGAUUGAGGUAGCUGGAAUGGAUAGUGUAGCGGUGAAAUGCAUAGAUAUUAUCCAGAACACCAAUUGCGUAGGCAAGUUACUAAGUCUCAACUGACGCUGAGGCACGAAAGUGUGGGUAUCAAACAGGAUUAGAUACCCUGGUAGUCCACACUGUAAACGAUGAUAACUAACUGUUGGC
rnacentral:rRNA from 1 species